UACGUAGGGGGCUAGCGUUGUCCGGAUUUAUUGGGCGUAAAGAGCGUGUAGGCGGCCAGGUAGGUCUGCUGUGAAAACUCGAGGCUCAACCUCGGGCCUGCAGUGGGUACGGGCAGACUAGAGUGCGGUAGGGGAGAUUGGAAUUCCUGGUGUAGCGGUGGAAUGCGCAGAUAUCAGGAGGAACACCAAUGGCGAAGGCAGAUCUCUGGGCCGUAACUGACGCUGAGGAGCGAAAGCAUGGGGAGCGAACAGG
rnacentral:rRNA from 1 species